rnacentral:rRNA from 1 species
UACGUAGGGGCCUAGCGUUGUCCGGAAUUAUUGGGCGUAAAGAGCUCGUAGGCGGUUGGGCAAGUCGGAUGUGAAAUCUCCACGCUUAACGUGGAGGGGCCAUUCGAAACUGCUGUGACUCGAGUCCGGUAGGGGAGUGUGGAAUUCCCGGUGUAGCGGUGAAAUUCGUAGAUAUUGGGAAGAACACCGGUGGCGAAGGCGGCGACCUGGUCCAUUACUGACGCUGAGGCGCGACAGCGUGGGGAGCAAACAGG